rnacentral:lncRNA from 1 species
CAGCAAAAAGACAAUUAGAAAGUUAACAUCUGCCCAGCAUAAGGCCUCCAGCAAACUAAGGCAAUGCUGGGGCUCUGCCUAUUCUCAGUGGUUGAUGCCAUUUUUAAAUAUAAAUUUUUUUGGUCAUUCUUACCCACAGAAGGACUUUACAGCAAGAAUAGAAGCAAGCUGAGGUGUAUGCCAGAUGACAUGACAGAUGCGCCUUGUUUCUUCUUUGCCUUCUGCCAUGAUUGUAAAUUUCCUGAGGCCUCCCCAGUCAUCUGGAACUUUACCAGGAGUCAACUGUGGUCAGAAAACAG